rnacentral:rRNA from 1 species
GGUGAGUAAUGUCUGGGAAACUGCCUGAUGGAGGGGGAUAACUACUGGAAACGGUAGCUAAUACCGCAUAACGUCGCAAGACCAAAGAGGGGGACCUUCGGGCCUCUUGCCAUCGGAUGUGCCCAGAUGGGAUUAGCUAGUUGGUGGGGUAACGGCUCACCUAGGCGACGAUCCCUAGCUGGUCUGAGAGGAUGACCAGCCACACUGGAACUGAGACACGGUCCAGACUCCUACGGGAGGCAGCAGUGGGGAAUAUUGCACAAUGGGCGCAAGCCUGAUGCAGCCAUGCCGCGUGUAUGAAAAAGGCCUUCGGGUUGUAAAGUACUUUCAGCGGGGAGGAAGGGAGUAAAGUUAAUACCUUUGCUCAUUGACGUUACCCGCAGAAGAAGCACCGGCUAACUCCGUGCCAGCAGCCGCGGUAAUACGGAGGGUGCAAGCGUUAAUCGGAAUUACUGGGCGUAAAGCGCACGCAGGCGGUUUGUUAAGUCAGAUGUGAAAUCCCCGGGCUCAACCUGGGAACUGCAUCUGAUACUGGCAAGCUUGAGUCUCGUAGAGGGGGGUAGAAUUCCAGGUGUAGCGGUGAAAUGCGUAGAGAUCUGGAGGAAUACCGGUGGCGAAGGCGGCCCCCUGGACGAAGACUGACGCUCAGGUGCGAAAGCGUGGGGAGCA